UACGUAGGGUGCGAGCGUUAAUCGGAAUUACUGGGCGUAAAGCGUGCGCAGGCGGUUUUGCAAGCCGGAUGUGAAAUCCCCGGGCUUAACCUGGGAAUGGCAUUUGGGACUGCAAGGCUGGAGUGCGGCAGAGGAGACUGGAAUUCCUGGUGUAGCAGUGAAAUGCGUAGAUAUCAGGAGGAACACCGAUGGCGAAGGCAGGACUCUGGGCUGACACUGACGCUCAUGCACGAAAGCGUGGGGAGCAAACAGG
rnacentral:rRNA from 1 species